rnacentral:rRNA from 1 species
UACGUAGGGGCCGAGCGUUGUCCGGAGUUAUUGGGCGUAAAGCGCGCGCAGGCGGCCUCGCGCGCCCGACGUGAAAGCCCCCGGCUUAACCGGGGAGGGUCGUUGGGGACGGCGGGGCUUGAGGGCGGGAGAGGUCGGUGGAAUUCCCGGUGUAGUGGUGAAAUGCGUAGAGAUCGGGAGGAACACCUGUGGCGAAGGCGGCCGACUGGGCCGACCCAGACGCUGAGGCGCGAAGGCGUGGGGAGCGAACGGG